UACGGGGGGGGCAAGCGUUGUUCGGAAUUACUGGGCGUAAAGGGCUCGUAGGCGGCCAACUAAGUCGGAUGUGAAAUCCCCAGGCUUAACCUGGGAACUGCAUCCGAUACUGGAUGGCUUGAAUUCGGGAGAGGGAUGCAGAAUUCCAGGUGUAGCGGUGAAAUGCGUAGAUAUCGGGAAGAACACCCGUGGCGAAGGCGGCUCUCUGGGACGGUACUGACGCUGAGACGCGAAAGCGUGGGGAGCGAACAGG
rnacentral:rRNA from 1 species